rnacentral:rRNA from 1 species
GAGUUUGAUCGUGGCUCAGAUUGAACGCUGGCGGCAGGCCUAACACAUGCAAGUCGAGCGGAUGACGGGAGCUUGCUCCUUGAUUCAGCGGCGGACGGGUGAGUAAUGCCUAGGAAUCUGCCUGGUAGUGGGGGACAACGUUUCGAAAGGAACGCUAAUACCGCAUACGUCCUACGGGAGAAAGCAGGGGACCUUCGGGCCUUGCGCUAUCAGAUGAGCCUAGGUCGGAUUAGCUAGUUGGUGGGGUAAUGGCUCACCAAGGCGACGAUCCGUAACUGGUCUGAGAGGAUGAUCAGUCACACUGGAACUGAGACACGGUCCAGACUCCUACGGGAGGCAGCAGUGGGGAAUAUUGGACAAUGGGCGAAAGCCUGAUCCAGCCAUGCCGCGUGUGUGAAGAAGGUCUUCGGAUUGUAAAGCACUUUAAGUUGGGAGGAAGGGCAGUAAGUUAAUACCUUGCUGUUUUGACGUUUACCGACAGAAUAAGCACCGGCUAACUCUGUGCCAGCCGCCG